rnacentral:rRNA from 1 species
UACGGGGGGGGCAAGCGUUGUUCGGAAUUACUGGGCGUAAAGGGCCCGUAGGCGGCCAACUAAGUCAGACGUGAAAUCCCUCGGCUUAACCGGGGAACUGCGUCUGAUACUGGAUGGCUUGAGGUUGGGAGAGGGAUGCGGAAUUCCAGGUGUAGCGGUGAAAUGCGUAGAUAUCUGGAGGAACACCGGUGGCGAAGGCGGCAUCCUGGACCAAUUCUGACGCUGAGGAGCGAAAGCCAGGGGAGCAAACGGG